AUGCACUCUGCUUUUCAUCAUCAUACCAUACAAGCAUCGAUUUGCUUCUCCCGUACAAAUACCAGGGCACCUAAAAUAUCUACGCACUGGUAUACAUGUUUAACACGGUGUGGCCAACUGGCCAACAACAAACCAAAACUGUUUCCUAGGGAAAAAGAAGUCCACGAUUUUCAUCUAAAGAGAAGUUUUGAGGCUUCAAAUCAUCUUCAUGGCCAAAAUGGGAGCAUUCUUUCACGGAAAGAUAGGUUGAAGAUUGCACUGAAAAUUGCAAUGGCCAUUUCAGAACAUAACGAUACAGUGUGCAGAAAUAGUACUAAUUGA
rnacentral:rRNA from 1 species